AUUCUCAGUUUGUUCCUGGCUUGGAGCUGGAGGCAGUGCCAGCAGAUUACUGGAACUCUGGACAGGAGCUAUCACUGAGAUGUCUCCAAGUUCAGGAGUGCCAUCUGUGUUCAGAGAGGCAAUACAAAAAAGCAAGCAAACAACAACUGAGUACGACCUUUCUGUAAGUUGCUUUUCCUGGUGACGCCCAAUUCCGGCCUUACUUUCCUUCCUAGUCUCUUAAUACAUGGUCAGAGAAGAGGAAACAUCAACUCCGGAUACAAGGGAUGAAGAGACGAUACUGGAGGAUGUCUGAGUGGCUGAAGCCGAAGAGUGCAUGUGUCCAGUACGAAGGUCACCGGUCACUGGUCACUGGUC